GACGAACGCUGGCGGCGUGCUUAACACAUGCAAGUCGAACGAUGAUGCCAGCUUGCUGGUGGAUUAGUGGCGAACGGGUGAGUAACACGUGAGCAACCUGCCCCUGACUUCGGGAUAACCGCGGGAAACCGUGGCUAAUACCGGAUAUGACGCGCUAUCGCAUGGUGGUGUGUGGAAAGAUUUAUCGGUUGGGGAUGGGCUCGCGGCCUAUCAGCUUGUUGGUGGGGUGAUGGCCUACCAAGGCGACGACGGGUAGCCGGCCUGAGAGGGUGACCGGCCACACUGGGACUGAGACACGGCCCAGACUCCUACGAGAGGCAGCAGUGGGGAAUAUUGCACAAUGGGCGCAAGCCUGAUGCAGCGACGCCGCGUGAGGGAUGACGGCCUUCGGGUUGUAAACCUCUUUCAGUAGGGAAGAAGGCCUUCGGGUUGACGGUACCUGCAGAAGAAGCGCCGGCUAACUACGUG
rnacentral:rRNA from 1 species